AUUGAACGCUGGCGGCAGGCCUAACACAUGCAAGUCGAACGGUAGCACAGAGAGCUUGCUCUCGGGUGACGAGUGGCGGACGGGUGAGUAAUGUCUGGGAAACUGCCUGAUGGAGGGGGAUAACUACUGGAAACGGUAGCUAAUACCGCAUAAUGUCGCAAGACCAAAGAGGGGGACCUUCGGGCCUCUUGCCAUCGGAUGUGCCCAGAUGGGAUUAGCUUGUUGGUGAGGUAAAGGCUCACCAAGGCGACGAUCCCUAGCUGGUCUGAGAGGAUGACCAGCCACACUGGAACUGGGACACGGUCCAGACUCCUACGGGAGGCAGCAGUGGGGAAUAUUGCACAAUGGGCGCAAGCCUGAUGCAGCCAUGCCGCGUGUGUGAAGAAGGCCUUCGGGUUGUAAAGCACUUUCAGCGGGGAGGAAGGCGGUGAGUUUAAUAAGCUUGCCGAUUGACGUUACCCGCAGAAGAAGCACCGGCUAACUCCGUGCCAGCCGCCGCGGUAA
rnacentral:rRNA from 1 species